UACGUAGGGUGCGAGCGUUGUCCGGAAUUACUGGGCGUAAAGGGUGCGUAGGUUGUUUGUCGCGUUGUUCGUGAAAACUCACAGCUCAACUGUGGGCGUGCGGGCGAUACGGGCAGACUGGAGUACUGCAGGGGAGACUGGAAUUCCUGGUGUAGCGGUGGAAUGCGCAGAUAUCAGGAGGAACACCGGUGGCGAAGGCGGGUCUCUGGGCAGUAACUGACGCUGAGGAGCGAAAGCGUGGGGAGCGAACAGG
rnacentral:rRNA from 1 species